AUUGAACGCUGGCGGAAUGCUUUACACAUGCAAGUCGAGCGGCAGCACGGGGGCAACCCUGGUGGCGAGCGGCGAACGGGUGAGUAAUACAUCGGAACAUGCCCAGUCGUGGGGGAUAACACUUCGAAAGAAGUGCUAAUACCGCAUACGUCCUGAGGGAGAAAGCGGGGGAUCGCAAGACCUCGCGCGAUUGGAGUGGCCGAUGUCAGAUUAGCUAGUUGGUGGGGUAAAGGCCUACCAAGGCAACGAUCUGUAGCUGGUCUGAGAGGAUGAUCAGCCACACUGGGACUGAGACACGACCCAGACUCCUACGGGAGGCAGCAGUGGGGAAUUUUGGACAAUGGGGGCAACCCUGAUCCAGCCAUUCCGCGUGAGUGAAGAAGGCCUUCGGGUUGUAAAGCUCUUUCGGCAGGAACGAAACGGCGAGCUCUAACAUAGCUUGCUAAUGACGGUACCUGAAGAAGAAGCACCGGCUAACUACGUG
rnacentral:rRNA from 1 species